rnacentral:tRNA from 1 species
GUCCCGAUGGCCGAGUGGUUAAGGCGUUGUACUCGAAAUCCAAUGGGAUCUUCCCGCGCAGAUUCGAACCCUGUUCGUGACG